rnacentral:rRNA from 1 species
AGAAUCAACGCUGGCGGCGUGCCUAACACAUGCAAGUCGCACGAGAAAGGGACUUCGGUCCUGAGUACAGUGGCGCACGGGUGAGUAACACGUGAAUCAUCUACCUUCGAGUGGGGAAUAACUGAGAGAAAUCUUAGCUAAUACCGCAUAAUACCUACGGGUCAAAGCAGCAAUGCGCUUGAAGAGGAGUUCGUGGCAGAUUAGUUAGUUGGCGGGGUAAUGGCCCACCAAGACGAUGAUCUGUAUCC